UACGGGUUGAAGCAUGACCGUAAGGACAUGUGGACAGUAUGGGAGUGAGAAUGUUGGCAUGAGUAGCGAGAUGUGGGUGAGAAUCCCACAGGCCGUAAACCCAAGGUUUCCAGGGGAAGGUUCGUCCACCCUGGGUUAGUCGGGACCUAAGCUGAGGCCGAAAGGCGUAGGGGAUGGACAACAGGUUGAUAUUCCUGUACUACCGAU
rnacentral:rRNA from 1 species